AUUGAACGCUGGCGGCAUGCCUAACACAUGCAAGUCGAACGGCAGCACAGUAUGUAGCAAUACAUAUGGGUGGCGAGUGGCGGACGGGUGAGUAACGCGUGGGAAUCUGCCCUAUAGUGGGGGACAACCCGACGAAAGUCGGGCUAAUACCGCAUACGCCUACCGGGGAAGGCUUCGGCCGCUAUUGGAUGAGCCCGCGUCGGAUUAGCUAGUUGGUGAGGUAAUGGCUCACCAAGGCGACGAUCCGUAGCUGGUCUGAGAGGACGAUCAGCCACACUGGGACUGAGACACGGCCCAGACUCCUACGGGAGCAGCAGUGGGAAUAUUGCACAAUGGGCGAAA
rnacentral:rRNA from 1 species